CAGCCGCCACGGGAAAACGGAGGGGGCUAGCGUUGUUCGGAAUUACUGGGCGUAAAGCGCACGUAGGCGGCUUGGUAAGUUAGAGGUGAAAGCCUGGAGCUCAACUCCAGAAUUGCCUUUAAGACUGCCGAGCUAGCAGGUGAGAGAGGUAAGUGGAACUCCGAGUGUAGAGGUGAAAUUCGUAGAUAUUCGGAAGAACACCAGUGGCGAAGGCGGCUUACUGGCUCAUACUGGACGCUGAGGUGCGAAAGCGUGGGGAGCAAACAGGAUUAGAUACCCCGGUAGUCCCUGUCUCUUAUAC
rnacentral:rRNA from 1 species